UAUUGCACAAUGGGGGAAACCCUGAUGCAGCAACGCCGCGUGAGUGAAGAAGUAUUUCGGUAUGUAAAGCUCUAUCAGCAGGGAAGAAGAAAGACGGUACCUGACUAAGAAGCCCCGGCUACCUACGUGCCAGCAGCCGCGGUAAUACGUAGGGGGCAAGCGUUAUCCGGAUUUACUGGGUGUAAAGGGAGCGUAGACGGCUGUGCAAGUCUGAAGUGAAAGCCCGUGGCUCAACCGCGGAACUGCUUUGGAAACUGUAUAGCUUGAGUACUGGAGAGGCAGGCGGAAUUCCUAGUGUAGCGGUGAAAUGCGUAGAUAUUAGGAGGAACACCAGUGGCGAAGGCGACUUUCUGGACCGUAACUGACGUUGAGGCACGAAAGUGUGGGGAGCAAACAGG
rnacentral:rRNA from 1 species